GCCGGUGUAGCUCAGCUGGUAGAGCACCUGAUUUGUAAUCAGUAGGUCGCGGGUUCGAAUCCCGCCGCCGGCC
rnacentral:tRNA from 3 species